UUCAAAAUUACGGUCAAUGUAGGAUGUUCGUUACUACUGACGGUAAAGGUUGAACCGUGAGAUUGGUACAGACGAGAAAAAAAAGAACAUGAGAAGAGAAUACGAACUGAAUGUUAUGAAUAUAGAUAUAUAUUAAAAAAGAAAAAGUACUAAGUAUCUUGAAAGGUAGAUAAUCAAAUAAUCAACACAAAUAAAAAUCAGUUCAUUUACCAUGAAAAUUCCGAACCCUGACGUCGCAUUUACCAAGUAAAACUUUUACAUUUUUAAUAAAUAUCGUCCCUCAAACACAGCUAGUAUAGCCAGUCAAGGUGUCCUCUGUGAAGGUAAACAUCAGAUGAACUGAGAGUAAACAAACACCGCGUCCUUAUACUCGACAAUACCAAUCUCAUUGGUAGAUCCAGCCCAGUAUACGAAUUGAGUUUUGCCCAUUUGAAUUGUACCUGCGUUAAAGCCUCAUAAUUAGCAGUUGACUGCAGCGAUUGUGAAAAUGAAUGCUGUUCAAAUUCUCAUCCCUGAUUAAAUUUGGCAUAGCAACAGAUCUUUGGUCACAAGAACAAAUUAUUGUAAACAACGAUGGAAUUUGAAUAGGUCUACCAGUAACGGAAUCAUUGUUAAAACUCGAAAACGAAUCUGAGGCAGAAAGGACAACAAUAUCGAUAUUCUGUUGUGUAUUUUUAUUAUUUCAAAUUAUAUGUUUACCUCUAUACUGUGCGCGAAAAUGCAAAUGUUAUUUUUCCAAAUACAUCAGUAAAAUCAUUAAAAGAAAAUAAAAUUCCACGGUGAACAAAUAUUCUUAACGUAAAGAUAUCUGAUCGAAGUCAGGAUACCGUGGAAAAACAUCAGUCAUUAUAAGAAAAGAAAAUAAUUCACAAGUAUCAUAAAGUAAUAAUAUUUAUUUAAACAAAGGAGAUAUUACAUGAUAAUUAUAUUAAUCAAUAAUUCACAGCUGAUUCUACCUGAAUAGUUUCAAAAACACUCGUAGUUGCCUGACAUAGGAAUUCAAUGAGUAUUUUUUCCUCCGAAUUGUAAUUUAUCUUUUUGUAUAGAAUAAGUAUAUUAUAUGCACGUUAUUAAUGACAGUUUAUUGCAUCUAGUUUGAAGGAAAGAGUAAGCAAAAAAUAUAUUAUUUUCAAGAAGGCUAUUUGAUAUUUUAAAUAACUAACAGUUUUUUUUAUUAACCCAUGCUUUGAACUACCGAAAAGAUGAAACUAUCAUCAAAGAAAAUUCAAUUGAUUAAGAUAAACAAAAAUAGCAAAUACGAAACACUUCGUUUCGAUUGGUCUAUGAAGAUCUUACGAACAAAUGAAUUUUGAUAUUACUAAGAAAAACUAUCAGCCUCAAAAAAAUUAAUAAUUAUAAUGUGAGAAAAACUUACAAUAUUCUAAUUACUAAAAAAUACUUGUACGAACAUAUUGCAAAAUCUGUUAACUUUAGAAUAUUUGUUGCCAUUUUCGUCAACUAACUACUAACGUACAAAAUACUAUUAACGCUACUUAAUACAUUUUAUCUGUAAAUAUAUUCCAAUAUUAUCAUAAAGGAGAUUAUUUGUUUAGAUUCUACUGUAACAUUUCUUGAACAAGGAUAAGAUUGUUACAAAACAAUUAUUUUUCAGCAGGCAAUUUGAGGAACUAUCAUGAUAUAAUUAUACAUGAGCGAGUGUAGUUAAUACAAAUUAAUAAGUAACAAUAGGAUAUGACGCUUAAACAAAAACGGUUAAUAAAGAAAUCUCAAUGUCAACAUUCAGGCUGAAAUAAAAAUAUGAUAUUUCGUAGUAUUUUUUCAUCAAGUGUUUGAGCUGUUUCACACUAGUAGUUCGACUUGUUAUAACAUUAUAGUGAUUGACGUGAUAAUUAAACUUUCAGUACAAUGAAUGGGUACAAUAAAACGAUAAUUAAGUCAAGAAUAAUCAACUACUAGGAUUAUCAGCUCUCUUUUUACUGGAGGUAUAUAAUUUGUUUACUUUCCUUUUUAUUCUUUAAUUCAGUUUGCAUUUAACAUGUCCCUCAUGUAUUCUCAAACUUAUUCUCACACAACACGCAGCAGCCUAAUCACAGUUGCAAUAAGUUCAACAGUAUUUAUCACCCGUCGUUCGAUAUUUUUGUAUAAAAUAAUUAAAUCUGAAAUAGCAAUAAGUCGGUUUUCAGUAUUAGACAUUCGUAACGCAUGCAUGUAUAGAAAAGACAGAGGCAUCCUCUGAUUCAUGUAUCCUAAUGUAAAUAAAAUACAAUAAAAAAACGACAGUAAAUAUUACAGGUAAAGUGUCCUUGAAAUUUACUCAACAACAACAAUGCAGUGAAUUGAUUUUAUUAAUUUUUAUAUCACUUUAACAACAGAUAUAGGAUAAUAUUUCAAGAAAAUGUUAUUUGAAAUAGAAAACCCAGCUUUCUAUACACUGUAUUAUAAUUCGAUAAAAUUACUCAUAUUUAUUUGAAUACAAUUUACAUCGCUGUUUGCAUGUAUUUGAUACCAUUAAAAGUCAGUAAAUACAAGUAAAAGUAAGAUAUGUGUAACAAUUCAUCCUUUUUUUGGAUAUUAGUCAUCUUUAAUGUUCACGCAGCAGUUUUUGGCACUAGCUAUGAAUUCUUUGCAACACACAGAGCAUAAGUACGCCAAGUUCUUUUAUUUCAUAUUAUAUAGGUAAUUCUUACAAUUUGUGUAUAAUCACCGAAGACUCACCUAGAAUCACACCAGUCGCAAUUUAGCAACCAAAUACUUCUUGGCUAGCGAAAACAAUGUAAAGAAAACCAUCGGCGUCUUUUUCGUGCUGAUAGAGCUGCGCCAUUGUCAAGCUUCCACUAGCCAUGCUUCUUUGAUUAA